CUGAUGUCCUUCAUCUCUUUCUUGGUGACGUACGAGCCAUCGGCAUUGAAGUCGCCCAGGAUCAUCACAUUCUGGAGCAGAGAGGAGGCAGAGCAGCAGCAACAUGUGUCAACAACAGUCUGCGUCUCUAACAGGAAGACAUGGUAAAGCUCAUCCAGCUCCUUCUCUGAGUCAUCUGGUUUGGUGUGAACUGGGAUCAUCACAAGGUCCUUCAGCACUAUGGUAGUGCACAGUGGGUUUCCUGUUGUGGACGAAGACGAAACAAUGAGAGCGUGACAGUGAACCAACAGAGAAGAUCAGUAAAGAUCCAGGUGAUAAUCUUCUGUUCAUCACAGGACACUGACAAGACUGAACCCGCCAUGUUUUUAAGCAGUCCUCCUAGGAAAGGUAUGUUGACAUAAUGAGGCGACCUGAAGGCAGUGUGACACUUUGUAUUUGCCACAUUUUAUUUGCGCUCCUAAAAACAAAACACAUCGACAGUCUGACAGAGCUCCACCUCAUGUCUUAUGUCAUAAUGACAAACAGUUAUUAGGGUUUGUUUUCCUCACUGCUUGCCUGAGGAGCCGCACACACUGAAAGACAGAUUAUAAAUUAAUUUUCAUAACUGAAGAAAGAGAGGAACAACAGGCAAAACCAGAAAACUGAAUACUUUCACUUCCAACUGCUGACUGAAAAAAAAACUAUUAAAAUGGAAAUUAACUGAGGGAAUUUGAUACAGCAAUAUAGGGGAAAAAACGACUGUCUUCCUGUUUUAGCGUUCUGUUCUUAGCUUCACUCUGAGAGAAAAUGGCUUCAGCUGGGUCUGAGCCUCUCUGCAGUCUGCACGCUGAGAAACUCAAACUCUUCUGUUUGGACCAUCAACAGCCGGUGUGUCGUCUGUCGAGACUCAAAAACACACAACAAACACACAUUCAGUCCUAUCGAUGAAGCUGCACAGGAUCUCAAAGAGAAACUAGACAAAUCCCUGAAGCCCUUACAAGACAAACUGAAGCUCUUAAAAGAUGUCAAAGGAAACUUUGAUGAAACAGCAAAACACAUUAAGAUCCAGGUCUGACACACAGAGAGGCAGAUUAAGGAGCAGAUUAAGAAGCUUCAUCAGUUUCUAGAGGAGGAAGAGGA